rnacentral:rRNA from 1 species
AUUGAACGCUGGCGGCAGGCCUAACACAUGCAAGUCGAACGGUAACAGGAAACAGCUUGCUGUUUCGCUGACGAGUGGCGGACGGGUGAGUAAUGUCUGGGAAACUGCCUGAUGGAGGGGGAUAACUACUGGAAACGGUAGCUAAUACCGCAUAACGUCGCAAGACCAAAGAGGGGGACCCUCGGGCCUCUUGCCAUCGGAUGUGCCCAGAUGGGAUAAGCUUGUUGGUGGGGUAACGGCUCACCAAGGCGACGAUCCCUAGCUGGUCUGAGAGGAUGACCAGCCACACUGGAACUGAGACACGGUCCAGACUCCUACGGGAGGCAGCAGUGGGGAAUAUUGCACAAUGGGCGCAAGCCUGAUGCAGCCAUGCCGCGUGUAUGAAGAAGGCCUUCGGGUUGUAAAGUACUUUCAGCGGGGAGGAAGGGAGUAAAGUUAAUACCUUUGCUCAUUGACGUUACCCGCAGAAGAAGCACCGGCUAACUCCGUG